GGGUACGUGUCAUGAUAUACGGAGCAAGCACGCAAGCAAGCCUUGUUACCUUCCCAUCUUCACGCUGCAGGGGCUGCACGCUGAGGUAGCGGUCAGGGUGCGCCAUGCAGUACUACAACAAGGACGAACCUAACGAUGUCCGAACCCACGGACUCUCAAGCACGCUGGUCGCGUACGUCGUCAUCAUGGUUGCCAUCAUGUUCAUCUUUUCCUUCGCCAUUUUCGUGUAUGCUCAAAAGAAGAGGAACUGCAAGGAACAGGGGCUCUCCAGUCGGACGCUGGAAGACGUGUAUGAACGACAGGCCACGGUGUAUGAAUCAGACCAGGUGACGUCGACGCCGAAACCCGGCUACGUUGCUGCCACCUCCAGGCGCACAACAGAGAGUGGUGUGCUGGAAACUUUCGCGAACUUGGCGCAAUGGUGAAGCUUAGUGGCACUCCCUAUUUGUGUAUUGGUUUUUACUUUUCUUCCUUGCGAGAACCUACUCAUCUUGGACAGCUACGCACGGCAAUUCUCAAAAAGAAAAAGAAAGUGUAAGAGCUCAACUUAUACCCAAAGAGAUAAUCUUUUCGAUUACAUAUUAUUCGUGUCGGCGGUCAUGAGAAAUCGUGCAAUAAUCACACCUGCUCAGUUAGCUGGGAUUCACUAUCCUUCUCGUUAAUUCAUUUAAUGAAAAUUUUGCAACCU